CAGUAGCCGCGGUAAUACGGAGGGUGCAAGCGUUAAUCGGAAUUACUGGGCGUAAAGCGCACGCAGGCGGUUUGUUAAGUCAGAUGUGAAAUCCCCGAGCUUAACUUGGGAACUGCAUUUGAAACUGGCAAGCUAGAGUCUUGUAGAGGGGGGUAGAAUUCCAGGUGUAGCGGUGAAAUGCGUAGAGAUCUGGAGGAAUACCGGUGGCGAAGGCGGCCCCCUGGACAAAGACUGACGCUCAUGCACGAAAGCGUGGGGAGCAAACAGGAUUAGAUACCCCCGUAGUCCUGUCUCUUAUACA
rnacentral:rRNA from 1 species